rnacentral:rRNA from 1 species
UACGGAGGGUGCGAGCGUUAUCCGGAAUUACUGGGUUUAAAGGGUGCGUAGGCGGCCAAGUAAGUCAGGAGUGAAAGUUUGCGGCUCAACCGUAAAAUUGCUUUUGAUACUGCUUAGCUAGAAUCAGGAUGAGGUUAGCGGAAUGUGGCAUGUAGCGGUGAAAUGCAUAGAUAUGCCAUAGAACACCAAUUGCGAAGGCAGCUGGCUAGACCUGUAUUGACGCUGAGGCACGAAAGCGUGGGGAGCGAACAGG